AGAAAAAGUAAAACUGAAAGUUUUGGCUUGGGGGUUUUGUUUUGCAUCAUUGUUUUCUGCCAAAUCAUUCUCAAUCCCUUCAAACCUGCAAACCUACAAACAAACUUGGAAGACACGACUGAGGUGUUUAUUCAUGAAAGAAGAAAAAGCGACUCUGGAUUUAAAGUCAAAUCCACAACCGAUUUGGCUAUCUUUCUGCAUCAACUCUGCAUCAUGACCAGGAGGCCAAGUGCCAAGAAAAUAGGGAUGAAGGUUAAUCUCCGCCCCAGAAAGCCCAGUGUCCGGAAAUAAACACCACAGGGCUCAGCGGUAGGACGGGAAGAGCGCACAAAGGUUUCUGCAACACAGAGGAAGAGUCCUUUGUCACAUCCAGCUAGGAGGGUUUCCUGGAAGAAGGCGACUCUUGGCUAAGCAAGGUUACUGUGGAGAAUAGAUGAGUACAAAAUGCUGAGUACAAUGAUGGACACAGAGAUGAACUGAGGGGCAUGUCCAGGAGAGCACAGAGAAGUUUUCCUGAACAGGCAGA